AAUUCCAUCGUCUACCUUCAUCUUCUUCAAACAGCAAUCUCCCAAAUCUCUCUCCAAAUCGAAAGCGAAACCUAACCACGUACCCGAAAUCCAAAUUAGGGCUUGGGGCUGCAUUCGUUUGAAGGUUCCCCUGUGUAGUGUGUGCAUUGAUCAUGAAACUCAAAGGAAAUAAAGUUCGGUUGCAGUGCAAAGAGGAACCAAAGAUGAACAUGCUGAUAGAGAAUGGUUGUCUGCCAGUUGUCAACAAAAGCCGAUUCCAGGAUUCUAAUGUUGUUUCCUGUAGAAUGUCGGGGGUGAAAAGACUCUCACCUUAUUGCUCGUCUCAACUAAGAGUGAAUGCUGGACACAGUCGCAAAAGGAAAGCAACAAUCAAAGAUAAUGUGUUCUUGAGUGCCCCAUUGGAAAAGGGUCGAAGUUAGAGGCAAGUAUACCUUGCUUCGAAAACUUUAAACAUGGUGCUGCGUUUGGUCUCUCCUGGCAGACCAUGGGGCAAUAUCUGCUUCCAUCCUUCUUCGAAAGAGAAGCAUCACUACAAGCCCUGUAUUAUGCGGGGCUGAAGUUGGAGCCUUCUGGUCCUUGCUUCCAAAGUGAAGAGUGGAAACAGUCUGCCCUCCUGUUGUUUUCUGCAACGAUGAGUAUCCUGAAGAAGAUUCCGAGAUCUGGAUCAGAACUGCCACCAUUUGUUUGCUGGUUGGCCUUCCUAGAUGCGGUGGUGCCCAUGAUUAUGCUAGUGUUUCCUGUGAUGGAGGUCAUGAUUAUUUCACUAAUGAUUUUCUUCCUCUGAGAGUUAUUCGUUAAAAGGGCCAAAAAGCCGAAAGAAAGAUAGGUUUUUUCAUAAUAUCCUCAUUCCAUGCAGGUAAAACUUUUUGCACCACAAAGAUGUGUGCUAAUAAUUGCUAGAACUAUUUUUUUGGAGGAUCUAUUUUUUAAUGUGAAUGCUCUUAUGCAAUUUAUAUUUGAAAUGUCUCUUCUAGAAAAUUAAGAUGUCACUACUGCACUCAGUACUAGAUCACAGAACCUGAAGUACAUGGAAUCCCCGUUUGAAAGAAGUGAAUGGUUACACAUUGCAUGUAUGAAUUCAUUGUGUCAUGGAUGUUUAGGUGGCACGGUAGCGGCCUUAUUGUAAUUGUUUGUAGCAGUUCCUUUGUUUUAAUUCUUAUAGUAACCAACGAAAAUACGCGUUGUAUCUGGUCCAGAUUUUCUCGCAUUUGAUGAUUGGAUGUGUGGUCAAAUUUUUGCUUGAGAUCAAACUAGUACUAGUGAAUAUGUUCAAUAUUGACUACUAGGUGGAUUGAAGGAGUCCAUCUAUUACCCUUAAAUCCGUUUCAGGCAUAUCAGCAUGUUGAUGUUUCAUCAAUUGUGAACUAAUUUCACAUUUGAGGAGGUUUGAGUAGUGAAGUUCACCCAGUGAGCAUCUUAGAAGUUUUUUUACUUGGUUUCCUCUAAUUCACAAAUUCUCUACCCUAACUAUGUAUUUAACUUUUAUUCUUCUUCAGUACUACCACCUGCUGGAGAAACCCUAAGCUUGUUGCUGUUUGUUGGUGGUAUGUGCCAAAGGAAAUAAGCAGGCCUUUGUCUCCAUUAAGGUUGACUUAUAUGUCGGAAUAGUAAUCAAAGUUUAUGUUCUGUUCUGAGAAAAGACACGUGCGCUGAUAAUAGAAUGAUAUGAACCUAUUCUUCUAGUGAACAAGAUAACCAUCUCUUCUGGAUACCGUGAGCUAGAAUGUCAUUCACUUGCGGCUGAUAAGCUUAGAAGUCAGACGCACAAUUUCAGGCCCUAGAGCACAUGCAUUCGAUUGCGAAUGCGAAAUUUUGGAUUUACAUCGGAGCACCGAGACUCACAACUAUAGUCUGAACAUCCGGCUGCGGUCUUCAUAUAUUUUUUUUGCUUUCAAAUCCGAAUCAUUGAUACUUGGCAUACUGUUUUUUUCUUGUUUUUCAGCCUUGGGCAGGUUAAGUGAGGGCAAUCAUUUUGGUAACUGGAGAUAGAUUUUACCUUUAACCGCGCCAGUCAUCUGCUUGUGCUUCUGUGCGUGCCUGUGUGUAACUGCAUUCUAUGGCCGGUGCUACAUUCCUAGUAUAAAGUAGCCAGCUUUCUUCUCUUUAUGUGAUGGACCAAAUUGGUCGCAAAUAAGUUUGUAGAAUUUUUUCUUGUGAUCUGUUGGCUGGGUUAAACAAAUUUAUUGGAAGACGACUCCGCUCGCUUUCU